UACGGAGGGGGCUAGCGUUGUUCGGAAUUACUGGGCGUAAAGCGCACGUAGGCGGCUUUGUAAGUUAGAGGUGAAAGCCCGGGGCUCAACCCCGGAAUUGCCUUUAAGACUGCAUCGCUAGAAUUGUGGAGAGGUAAGUGGAAUUCCGAGUGUAGAGGUGAAAUUCGUAGAUAUUCGGAAGAACACCAGUGGCGAAGGCGGCUCACUGGCCCGGGUACU
rnacentral:rRNA from 1 species